rnacentral:rRNA from 1 species
AUUGAACGCUGGCGGCAGGCCUAACACAUGCAAGUCGAGCGAGCGGCGGACGGGUGAGUAAUGUCUGGGAAACUGCCUGAUGGAGGGGGAUAACUCCUGGAACCGGUAGCUAAUACCGCAUACCAUCAGAUGUUCCCAGGUGGGAUUAGCUAGUAGGUGGGGUAACGGCUCACCUAGGCGACGAGCCCUAGCUGGUCUGAGAGGAUGACCAGCCACACUGGAACUGAGACACGGUCCAGACUCCUACGGGAGGCAGCAGUGGGGAAUAUUGCACAAUGGGCGCAAGCCUGAUGCAGCCAUGCCGCGUGUAUGAAGAAGGCCUUCGGGUUGUAAAGUACUUUCAGCGGGGAGGCGUUACCCGCAGAAGAAGCACCGGCUAACUCCGUGCCAGCAGCCGCGGUAAUUC